GCAGCACUUUCUUUCCACUUCUGUCCAGGGCCCAUGGGAAAGGGCCAUAUCACCAAACAAAGUGCCCUACUACAUCAAUAUAAAACUUCAGAGACUUCAAUGGAACAUAACAGGUCAAGGAUCCUAUGUAUCAUCCAAAGCAUCAACUAAG